rnacentral:rRNA from 1 species
CCUACGGGUGGCAGCAGUGAGGAAUAUUGGUCAAUGGACGAGAGUCUGAACCAGCCAAGUAGCGUGAAGGAUGACUGCCCUAUGGGUUGUAAACUUCUUUUAUAUGGGAAUAAAAUGUUCCACGUGUGGGAUUUUGUAUGUACCAUAUGAAUGAGGAUCGGCUAACUCCGUGCCAGCAGCCGCGGUAAUACGGAGGAUCCGAGCGUUAUCCGGAUUUAUUGGGUUUAAAGGGAGCGUAGGUGGAUUGUUAAGUCAGUUGUGAAAGUUUGCGGCUCAACCGUAAAAUUGCAGUUGAAACUGGCAGUCUUGAGUACAGUAGAGGUGGGCGGAAUUCGUGGUGUAGCGGUGAAAUGCUUAGAUAUCACGAAGAACUCCGAUUGCGAAGGCAGUUCACUGGACUGCAACUGACGCUGAGGCUCGAAAGUGUGGGUAUCAAACAGGAUUAGAUACCCCAGUAGUC